GAGUUGGUGGUGGCAGAGACUUAUAAACUGGUGCGGGAUUGAUAUAGCUCCUUGGGUGUGGAGGCGAUAUGUAGACUAGGGUUGGUGGAGGUGGUGACUUGUUGACUGGGUGUGUGGAGGGUAGUAAGGCUCCUUAGUAGUGGUGGCGACUUGUAAACUGUAGUCGGUAGAGGCGGUGACUUGUAGAUUGGGGUAUGAGGAGGGUAGUAUGGCUCCUUAAGUGGUUGUGGUGACUUGUAAACUGGAGUCGGCGAAGGUGGCGACUUAUAGACUGGGUGUUUGGAGGGUAGUAAGGCUCUUUGGGUGGGGGUGGCAACGUAUAAACUUGAGUUAGUGGAAGUGGUGAUUUGUAGACUGGGUGUGUGGGGGAUAGUAUGGCUCCUUAGGUAGUAGUGGUGAUUGGUAAAUAGGAGCCGGUGGAAAUGGCGACUUAUAGACUGGGUGUGUGGAGGGUAGUAAGGCUCUUUUGGUGGGGGUGACGACUUGUAAACUGGAGUUGAUGGAGGUGGCAAUUUGUAGACUGGGGUGUGUGGAGGAUAGUAUGGCUCCUUGGGUGGUGAUGGUGGUGACUAGUAAAGCGGAGUUGAAGGUGAUGGUGAUUUAUAAAGUGGUGCAGGAUGAUAAGGUGUUGGUGAAGGAUGGUAUGGCUCUUUUGGUGAUGGUGGAGAUAAAUAUUGAUAAUUUGCUGAGCUUUGGGAAGCCAAGCAAAGUGACACAAAAACCACUAAAAGAGUGGAAAAUAGAGAGGCCAUUUCUCCCAAAAAGAAACAAAGGAGAGAAGUUGUUGUCCCUUUAAGCUGCACUCAAAGCCCUUUGUAUAGCUUUCAUUUAGAAGGUAUAAGGCUAAAGUUAUGUAUUUUUAAUUAGUUUUGUCAUGUUGUCGGUUCAAUUUGACCUUUGUUGGUAUACUUUUUUUUUUUUGUUGGAUAGAAGGUGCAAGCUAAGCAAAGAAAUUAACUACUAUGGCAGCUAUACUAUUUAUGAUGCAAUAAUUCAAAAAAAAAUACGUGGAUCCCACAACUUCCCACAAGAUUUUAGUUAUAGGAAUCUGAGCACUUUUUUUUUACACUUAGGGUGUGUAUGGUACGAUGGAAAAUAUUUUCUGAAAAAUGUUGGUUGUAGUAAAAAAUAUUUUCUAAGAUAAUUCAUUUUUUCCUAUUUGAGGGAAAAUGACUUCCCUCAUGGACCAAGGGAAGUUAUUUUUCGGAAAAUGAUAAAUGUGACUUAUGCCCCCAUCCUCACCCCUCUUCCCACCCCAACAACACUCAUAUUCACAUAACUCAAAAAAUUCACAUUUUUAAAAAAUUUAUUUUACUCAAAAUAUUUUUCACUGUGCUUUGCUUCAAUUUUUCACUGCUUGAAAUAAAAAAUAGUGAAGCCCGACUUUUUUUCAUUUCCAAUGUUCGUUGAAUGUAUUGUUAUUUUCAUAUGCAUAGAGGAAGACUUACCUAUGUUACUUUUGCUAAUUGCAUAUUUUAUUUUGUCAUCGAUGUUACUUCUUUCACGAGGUUGAAUAAGCUUAUCGUCCCGUUAUAUUUCUAUUGAUUGUAGUAUCUUGAGAUUGUCCUGAAAAAAUGUUGAAAAGUGUCUCCUAUAUUUGCUAAUUAAUAGUUGCUUAAAUUUAGUGAUUGUAAUAUUUUAGUAUUCGAUAUUGAUAUUAUUUAUUAUGCUUAAAUUAGUUCUUACAAAUUGUUGAGUUGCUAGAUGCACUGAUAUACUAGUUAACAGUUAGUAGUAUUUUCUAAAAAAAAAAAUUUCACUCACCAAUCAAACACUAGAAAAUAUUUUUCUAAAAAAUAUUUUCUACUCACCAACCAAACACCAUAAAAUAUUUUUCGAAAAUAUUUUUCACUCACCAACCAAACAUGAGAAAAUAAAUAGAAAACCAACUUAUUUUCCAAGAAAACAUUUUUCAUGAAAAAUAUUUUCCAUCGUACCAAACACACCCUUAGUAUUUGAAGAAUUCAAUUCUUGUGGAUUCUGACAGCUUAACUAACCUUCACUUAAGUGCUGAGAAAUUUAAAACAAUAUGUAUACAGUAUCAUAUAUUCUUUAAAAGAAAUGAUAUGUCAUUGUUAAAAGAGUUUAAUCUAGAGAAAACUGUGCAUGUGACUCGCUUUCAUUACCAACUAAAUCAAUUAUGUUCUUUCCUUUUGUGUAGUAGAGCUAAAAGAAACAUCAACCGAUUAUUUUGUAGCUCAAUGUUGAAAACUUAUGUGGUUCAAUAUGAUAUCUCUGAAAAUUUUACAGCUUGUUUGAUAGCUGCUGCCUAAUAAUGUAUUGUAUCGUGUUGCUAGUUUAAAUAUAAUGUGUAUUUUGAUUGUUUCUUAAAUUUUACUGUAUCAUUAAAUCUAUAACUAGAUAGCAAUAAAAAGUCUCAUUUGGUGUAACGACCUAUUUGAUGUGAUCGCGUUGUUACCUUUUUUCCCCUUUUUAUUUAUUAUUUAAUUAUCUUAAUGCUCCUUUAUCCUAUAUUUUUAUAGUAACUCUACCUCACAUUUUUCUAUUUUCCUUCUAGGCUUAUCCUUGAACUGUUAUAUGAAGGAUGCAAUGUAAUGACGAAAAAGGUAUAAUAAAUCCAAAUAUCGUAACAUUCACUAAAAUAAUAAAGUACAUACAAUACAACAUGAUACUUUAUGAAACAAUAUCAUUCCAAGUUAAGGACUUGAUUAGAAUGUGCAUGUUAAGUGUCUGAUGGGUUACUUAAGUAUAAAGUUCAAGUCCAUAUAAAAAGAUAAACCCUAAUUAUAAUGCCUUCAUCAUGGCUGGUCGACAGUAGUCUACUACUGAAUUUCCUCCUUUGAACCCAAAUUCUAUUGUGAAUAUCCAAACCCUACCGUUGGAUAAAUCUUUUGUUGAAUCAAUCAGUACAACAAAGUUGGACACCGUCUCUCGCAAAGAGGUGGUCAUGGUGGAAGGAAUCCCGAAUGUCACACUGAAAAAAGUGGAUACAGUGAAUAAAAUGGAGAAUUUGCAAUUUGUUGUCAUAGGUAAAUUCACUUAAGAAUGGACGGGUAUAGAAGAAUUAAGGAAUAUUAUCCCACAGCAAUGCAACAUUAAUGGUGAUUGUCAAAUUGGAGUAUUCAGAAAUAAACAUAUUUUCAUUCGUUAGACACAGGAGUCGGAUUUUAUUAAUAUCAUCAUCUCAAAGGGAGCUUUUUCCUUGCACUGUAAGGAUGGGUUCUCUUAUUUGAUGCGAACACUCUCACACUUAUCUAUGAUCCCCUUUUCAAAGAAACUUUAGAGACUACAAAGACUUUCGCAUGGAUUUCUUUCCCAAAUCUAUUGCCUACCUAUUAUGUCAAGGAAUGUUUGUUUUCUUUAGCUGCAACAGUGGGAAAGCCUGUCCAACUUGAUCUAGCCACCAUUAAUAGGACUAGACCAAGUUGUGCAAGGAUUAAGGUCUUGGUUGAUCUAAAAGCUGAUUUCUCUAAAUCAGUCCGGAUGGAUAUUGAAAAUGAAGAGUCAGGUAAAUGCAGGACAAUAGUGAAGCGGAUUAAAUUCGACCAUAUUCCUAAGUAUUGUCAUGAAUGCAAUAUGCAAGUUCAUGCUAAGAAUCAAUGUAGAAACUUAGGCACCCCAGAGGAUGCAACAAUGGCAGUAACAGUGGAUAAUAAGGAAUAAAAGAGGCCAGUACAACAUCUUCCUAAAUUCACAAUGCCUUUUGUACACAAAUUUCAAAACGGAAAAGCAUGAGUUCUUUCGAGUGGGAUUGUAGUUGGAGAUCCUACUAACUGGAUGGUUAUUAAAAAUGAUAAGAGGAUAGUUAAUACUUCCCAACAGCCUCUUUUAAUGAUAUAGUUAAUACUUCCCAACAGCCUCUUUCAAUGACAAAUAACCAAUUUGCUGCUCUAGCUACCGACGACAAAGAACCUGCUGAAUUAAACAUUUCGACAAAGGAGAGUUCAAACCUUAAGGCAUGUACGGAUGUGUUCCAAAUAAUAAGGAAAAUGAAAAAGUUAAUCUGUGGUCCAAUAAAGAAUCUGCUAAAGAGUGGGUAUCAAGGGAUUUUGGCAAGCUAGGUGAAGUUCCCAAUUCUGUAAUACCUGUACAGCAACAAGGCAGUCAGCAACUAAGUAAUCAACAACAAAGGCAAGAUAGAGAUAAUAAUGCUAAAGAGAAUAAUAAAGAUGGUAAUGGGAUGGAGAAUGAUAUGCAGGUUAAAUCUUUAAUAAAUCAGGAGCAUAAUAUUGAUGAUGGUCAGCAACAAUGCCUCAUAGUCAAAAAGGACAAUCUGCAAUCUAUAGAAGAUGUGCAACCAGAUACCAAGCAAUAGUCAAUGCAGAUUAAUCAAGAUUUUUACAGUGGAAGCUAUGAUAAUGGAGAUAGGUCAGUUGAGGAAAGUGUGGGGAUAACAGUUGUGAUGCAAGGGGAACAAAAUGUGUGUUUAGAAAUAAUGGAGAUUCCAAAACCAGUGCAGAUAGAUGAAUCAUUUAUCGUUACCAAGAGUUCUCCCAACAAAGUAAUACAUGACAUUGUCUCUCAUAGUUUAGGGUACAUUAAAUGCAGUAAUCAAACUCACAUGGCCAAAGGAGUUAAAGAAGUAGAUGUAGAAGAUGAUUCGAAGGAUCAUGCUCCAUCGGAAGCUGAUUUAUCACCAAGACUGAUGAAAAUCUCUAAAAAAGGAUAAAAAAGAAUGUGGAUGGGAGAAAACUCACAACCUACCAGAGUUCAUCCUAAGCGAUCCAAAUCUGCCCUAAAUUAUCAAUGAAAGCACUUAUUUGGAACAUUAGGUCUGUGAAGACACAACAAGAUUUCAAAGACUUCAGAUGCUUAAUAAUUAUCAUAAGUUCACCGGUUUCAGUUUGUUAGAGCCUUUUCAGAAUGUUAGAUAUAAGAGAAGAUUGAAAAUGCAUAGGGCUAUGUCAAACUGCAAUAGCAAGAUUUGGUUUUUCUCCUCUCAAGAUGUGAUAACAACUGUUAUUAAAGACACUGAUCAUCAGCUACAGUUCACUUGCAGGAGUAGGCUCAGAGCUUAGAUUUAUUACUCUUGUUUAUGCAAAGUGUUCUAAAGAGGAGAGAUUAAUCUUAUGGAAGGAUAUUUAUCAAGUUGCUUCUGGAAUUUCAAAACCUUGGAUGCUAGGAGGAGAUUUAAUGUUGUUUUGAAUUCUGAAGAGAAAAUUGGUGGCCUUCCAAUUCUUGAUGCAGGCCAUGGGGACUUUCAAUCAUGUAUUUCUUAUUGUGAUUUGAUGGAGAUACCUUUUAAAGAAAGUUCUUUCACUUGGUGGAAUGGUAGAGCAGGUAAUGACUGUAUUUUAGAAAGAUUGGAUAGAAUUUUUACUAAUCAACAACAACAACAACAACAACAACAACAACAACAAACCCAGUGUAUUCCCACCUAGUGGGGUCUGGGGGGGUAAGAUGUACGCAGUCCAUACCUCUACCUCUGCUGAAUUUUUACUAAUCAAGAUUUACAAAAUAAGUUCAAUCACAUGAAGGUAGAACAUCUUGCUACUAGUUCAGAUCAUGCUCCCAUGUUGUUGUAUUGUUAUGACAGAGCUAUCAGUUACAAGAAAUCUUUUAGAUUUCUUAAGUUUUGGACUGAUCAUCCUAAGUUCCUAGAAGUAGUAAGGCAGAAUUGGUGUUCUUCAGGUUCUCAGAGUCCAUUCUUAGAUUUCAAAGCAAAGAUUAAGAGAAUUAAAGUUGCUUUGACAAGAUGGAGUAAAGAGACUUCUGGGGAUAUUUUUAAAUAGUUGAUAAUCAGGGAAGAAAUUGUCAAGAUCAAAGAGAAAUUAUUUGAGGAAUGCCCUACGGCUGAUAACAGCGAAGUGUUGCAAAGAGCUCAGUCCGAGCACAAAAUAUAUCUUCGUUUUGAAGAGAUUUUUUGGCAGCAAAAAGCAGGUUAUGACUGGUUUGAGAAUGGUGACAGAAAUAUUAAAUUUUUUCAUAGCACUGUGAAGGGGAGGAGGAAAAGAUUGAAUUUGAAUAGAAUUCAAAUUAAUCAGGGUAUUUGGCUGGAUAAAGAAGAAAAGAUAGCCGCAGAGGUUGUUAUGUUUUAUCAGGACCAAUUUAGACAAGAACAAGAGGCUAAUGUUUUUUCAUAACUGAAUAAUAUACCUAAGAGUAUUUCUGAUGAGCAAAAUAUUGUUUUAAGUCAGUAAGCUGAUCUUGAAGAAGUUAAAAAGGCACUUUUUAGCUUAAAUGAAUAUAGUGCAAGUGGCCCGGAUGGGUUAACAAGUAGGUUCUAUCAGGUUCGCUGGGAUAUUAUUGGUAAUGAUGUUCUUAAUCUGGUGCAAGAUUUCUUAAAAGGUAAUACUCUUCCCAAAUUCAUUAUUCAUACUAAUUUGGUGUUGCUUCCCAAGAAGGAUUUUAUUCAAUUUUUCUCAGAUUUGAGACCAAUUAGUCUUAAGUAAUUUUAUUAAUAAGAUCAUUUCUAGGAUUGUGCAUGACAAAAGUGAACUUCUUUUGCCUAGACUGAUUUCUUUUAAUCAAUCUAAAUUUGUCAAAGAGAGAAGAAUUAUUAAAAAUUUCCUCCUGACUCAAGAGAUAGUUACUGACAUCAGAAAAAUGGGUAAGCCGGCUAAUGUGGUCUUAAAGCUUGAUAUGACUAAGGCUUAUGAUAGGGUUUCCUGGUUUUUCCUGAUGAAGGUUCUAAGAAAAAUAGGGUUCUCAAAAUUGUUUAUGGACUUGUUUUGGAGAUUAUUGUCUAAUAAUUGGUAUUCUAUACUAAUUAAUGGGCGAUCACACGGCUUUUUUCACUCAACUAGGGGAGUAAAACAAAGAAAUCCUUUAUCUCCAGCUUUCUAUUUGAUGAUGCUCAAUAUGUAGGUUAUGAUAUGCCAAAGUGGAGUUCCAAUAUUAAUCAUCUUGCUUAUGCAGAUGACACUAUUAUAUUCGCUGCAGCUAACAGAUACUCUUUGAGAAAGAUUUUUUCAGUGUUACGGGAAUAUGAAACUCAAUCAGGGCAAAAAGUUAAUAAAGAGAAGAAUGCUUUCUACAUGCAUCAGAAUUCAGCUGCAGUUGAUAAACAAAUGGUGGAAGAUUGUGCGGCUAUUUCUAAAGGCCAAUUUCCUUUGAAAUACCUUGAAUGUCCUAUCACUCAUGCUAGAAAAAGAAAGAGUCAUUAUUCAGAGCUAAUUCAGAAGGUUAAGUCAAAAUUACAGGCUUGAAAAGGUAAUAUUCUCUCAUAUGGGGGGAAAGGAGGUCCUUAUCUCUAGUGUUCUUCAAAGUGUUCCUAUACAUAUCCUUUCUGUUGUUGUCCCUCCUAUUUGUGUAUUGAAGGAGCUUCACAGAAUAUUUGCAAAUUUUUUUGGAGUAAUAAGGCCGAUGGAAGAAACAAACACUGGGCUGCUUGGGUAAAGGUGUUUUUACCAAAACAGAAGGCAGUUUGAGUUUUAGAUCGAUGUUUGAGGUAUCUCAAGCCAUGUAUCCUAAGUUCUGGUGGAAGUUCAGAACUCAAAAUACUACUUGGUCCAACUUUAUAUGAGACAAGUAUUGCAAAAAGCAAAUACCUUCACUAGUUUAAUGGAAAGGUGGCUCGCAAGUAAGGAAGCAUAUGUUGCAAAAUAGGGAUCUAGUGGAGCAAUUCUUGUGGUGGAACCUAAAGGAGGUACUUCUACAGUUUGGUAUGAUAAUUGGACUCAACUUGGUCCUCUUUUCAAACACCAGGUAGAGGUCAUUCUUCUUUUCCAGUGAUGGAUAUUGAGGAAUUCAUGUUGGGCUCAGACUGGGAUUUUGAGAAUAUGCAAUAUCAUUUAUCAGAUAAUGUAGUAGAGCAUGUAAGAUUACAUUUGAGGCUUGUACGACAUCCUGGAGAAGGUGACAAGCCCUGGUGGAUUAAAUUUAGUUCUGGCAAGUUCUCGGUUAAAAGUGCUUGGGAAGAACGGAGGAAAAAAACGUUUGUAAUGAGUCAUUUCAGAAGAUCUGGGUAAAAGAGAUUCCUUUCAAAAUUUCUUACUUUGGUUGGAGAGUUUGGACAAAUAGGAUUCCUGUAGCCUCUGUUUUAGCUAAUUGGAAUCCUAACUUGUCUCCUCUUUAUUCAUAUUGUGUUUCAAGAAAUCAUGGAGCACCUCUUUCUAAAAGGUGAAGUGGUUUAUUUCGGUUUGGAUUUAUUACGCCAAUGCUGCAGGUAUUCUGGGGCCCUGGGUUCAAAUUAAACUAUCCAUAAAGAAGUGGUGGGAUAUAAAUGGUAAUUAAAGACAAAGAUUCAUCUUUCAGGUAGUUCCUACUCUCAUUUUGUGGUUUUUACGGAAAAGAAGGAAUGCAUUAGUUCAUGGAGGUUCAUACUCUACAGCCAAGGUUAUUUGGGAUAUUAAUGGUUUAAUUAAGAAAAUUCUCAGAAAGAAGUUUGGUUAUGAUCAGUUACCAUCUAGUUGGCCUCAAAUAGUUGCUUUUUGACUUAUUUAGACCUACAUUUUUAUCUAGAUGGAUAAGAUGGUAUCCCCCACCUAGGGGAUAGUGGAAAUAUAACACUGAUGGAACCUCGAGAGGUAAUCUAGGUCGAAUUUCAGCUGAUUUUUGUGUACGAAAUCAUGUAGGUGAUCUUGUGUAUGCUAAGGGUUUCUCUAUUCCAGAUUCCACUAAUCUGGUUGUUAAAGUCAUUGCUAUAGGAGUUGGUUUACAUUAUUGCUUAGAAAAUCAAAUUGUCAACAUUAUUGUGGAAUCUGAUUCCCUUGUAGUAGUCAACAUGAUUAAUGGAGUGUGGGAAAUUCCUUAGAGUGUGAUAAUGGAGGUCAACUCCAUUAAAGAUAUGAUGGAUUCUUGUUCAGCAAGAGUACAACACUCCUUAGGAAAGGGAAAUACUCUUGCUGAUUAUUUAGCUAACUUGGUUUUUCAUUUUGCAGGUAACUUUGAAUUCAACAGUUUUCAUGAAAUUCCAAGCGCAGGUAGGAAGAUUAUCAAUCUAGACAAACAAGGCAUUCCACAAAUGAGGAUAAGACAGUGUACAUCAACUAAUUCAACAAGGGAUGGAUCGCUACUGCAGAUUACAAAGUGAAUUUACAAACUCUAUUAGCAGUGACUAGUUACUGGUGAAUUUAGUGCAGUCUGAAUUAGUUUCGUUUGGUUAACAUACCAUGCACCUGUGGGAAUUUUUAGGUGUUACAUAGAGUAUAAACCCAGGACUCACUUAUACUAGUUGCUAAUUUCUAGGUAUAGAGUUUAUAAAAAUCAAGCACAAAUUUAGAGGCAUUUCAUAGUCUCAAAUCUGUUGAUGAGGAGAGGAUGGAGUACCCGGGACCUCAAAUUUAGCGGCGGAAGAUAGACAGGGUAUAAUUAUCAAGCAAUACAAUUCUUUUAUACAGAUUCCACUUCAGAGAAGAACAAAAAUAAUCAUUGCCAACUUAUGGAUUGCAAAGUGUCAAAAUACAAAUUUCAGCAUUUGGAGUAACACAAGAAGGCAAGGAGCAAGAUAAGUAUUAAUGGACAGUAGUGGUGAUUAACAUUCACUAAUACUGAUUGAUUUCUAAGUCAUACAAUUGAAAUGGGGGUUAAGGUGAACCUGUUAGUUCUGGAUCCUUGGUGGUGGUAUCAAUCUCCUUGAGGUUUAUUCCGCUAGGAAAAAGAGAGAACAGUGAAAUCAUUUUUUUCAUUUCACAGAUGAGUUUAGAAUAGAAAAAGGGAGGUGACUUACCAUAUCAUCUGCAAUAAAUAUUUAUUGAUUUGGAGCUGUAGAAAUUUAGUUGAAACCAAUUUCAUGAAGUUUGUAAGAGAUUAAAGUGUCUUAGUGAAAUUUGAUGGAUGUUCCAUGGCAAUAAUGGCUUCCACAACUUAAUGCAACAACCAGAUGAGGUUGGAGUAGCAAAGAUUGAAACCAUAGUUGCCUCUCCGUGAUGUCUUUCAGCUUUGAGUUUUAUCCACACAUUCCUUUUCCUGCUUACAUUUUCUGUUUUUGGUCUUUUCAGAUGUCUGGAUAUAUUUGUUGCUUUUGUUUUGGACCCGGGUCUUGCUUAACUUGGGCCAAUUUGUACAUAUCUUUUCUGCUCCUGAAUAAAUUGGGCUCUGGUCCAUCUUCAAUUAAAAAAAAGGAAAAAUGACAUGGACUGACCAGUUUAAAAAAAGGAAAUUUUGCAUAUAUACCGACAUGUUUACUCUUAAUUACCAAAAAUUUCAACAUUUUUCAAAAUCUCCAAAAAUUCCAACAUUUGACCUCUGAUAAUACAAGUUAAUCACAUUAGAUACAUACUGUUGAUAUAUGUAUCUAAUGUGAUUAACUUGUAUCAUACAUUAGAUAUAUGUAGGGUUACAUUAGAUACAUGUAGGGUUACAUUAAAUACAUGUAGGGUUAACUUGUAUCUCAAAAAUAGUCCCAAAUAUGAAAUGUUGGAAUUUAUGUAAUUUUUCAGAAGUAGGGGGAUUUUUAGAAAUUUUGAAAGUUAUGAUGUUUAUUUAUGUAAUUUUUUGUUAAAAAGAAAAAAAAUAGCCCACACUAUGAAAAUAUGGACAAUUGGAGCCAGUAGACCCAAUUUAUUUCCUGUUUUUUCAGUCAUUUGGCCCAAAACUAUUCUCCUUACACAAUUAAGGGGAUUAAAUACUCUUCACAGUAGGCUACUCUUAAAUCACUUUUCUUUUCAAACUAUACUUUCCCAAAAAAAUGUUCACCUCUAUUAUGUGUCGAUCAAUCUACUGUGUUUUGUGAUAACAAUUGAGUUAGUAGGGCACAUGCAGUCUCUAUACCCAAUUGAUACACUUUUGUACCAUAUUGAUACAUGUUUAUACCCAAUUGAUACUCUUUAUACUACAUUGAUACACUUUUAUACUCAAUUGAUACUCUUUUAUACUAGAUUGAUACACUUUUAUACCACGUCGAUACAGUAUGUAUAUUACAUAAAUACAUCUUUUACAGAGGAAAUUUGUGCAAGCAUAUACAGUAACAAUACCAAAUUAAUACAGUAAAUCAAAAUUAGUAAGUACGAACAUAAUUGAUACUCUUUAAAAUUAUAGUAUUAAUAGUACAUAAAGUAACAAAAAAAAAGAUCAAAUCAUCUUUCCAUCAAUUAUUGUUUUGAUUUAGUUCAUUCUUUCUCCUUAACGCUCUUUUAUAUUUCUAACUUCCUCUUCCUACCUUUAUUUUCUCUUCUUUUUUUCUUUCCUUCAUUACUAAGUUAGUUGUAAACACCCAUAUGAUGAAGUAUGUAUUUACUCUUGAGUUGAUGUCAUAUUUAUCCUACUAAGAAAAAUCACAGGUUCUGUAAGGAAUUGUCUAGACAUGGAGUACAUAUAAAAAUUUAUUCUGCCACUUGAAAAAAACCUGUAAAAAACUAAUUAAAUUCAGAUUUUUUGAGAUUUUAUACAAAAUUUAUGAAAUGAGAAAGGUAAAUUGGAGUAUCGAAAAAAGGUAAAGGAACAAAUAUUUAGGAGUUUGAAUGGAAAGGAAACUGGGAAUGAAAAGAAAAGAAAGAAAGGGAAAGUUACUUCAAGGAUGUUUUUGAUUUUGUUUAAGCGUAUGACAGUGAAGGUUAGUUAGUGGAAUUACUCUGUGUCUAUUUAUGAUGUAUUUAAUUUUGACUGCUAUUUUUUUAUAUUAUUUUAGUUUUAGGUGUUAUUUCUGUCAUUUGCCCAAAAAAAAAAACUUACUAUUUUACUACAAUUCUUGUUGGUAAGAAUACAUUAUUUCUUUUUUUUUUUUAGGGCAAACAACAUAAAUUUCGAGAAUUUGGAGCUUAAUUACAGAAAAUUCUGAUAUUUUGCAUAAUUGUUGAAAAUCUCAAUUUUGGAUCUGUUGAGAUACAUUAUUAGCUUCUGAUACAAUCAAAAAGAUACAUUUUUAACUUUGUAUAGAUAUAUAAUUAGCUUCCGCUACAUAUUUUUUAAAUUUUGCGUUUGUUGAGAUAUAUAAUACAUCCAAUGAAGAUAUAUUUUUUUCUUUGUAAAGAUAUAUAAUUAGCUCCCAGUGCAGUUUUUUUAUUUUUGGGUCUGUCGAGAUACAUAAUAAGCUUUCGAUACAUCCAACGAAGAUAUAUAAUUAAUUGAGCUUUUUGUAGUUAUUUUGUAAGAGUGAAAAUUUUGUAUAAAUAUAAUAAGUUAAGAUGUAUAUUUAUACUAUUUUUCCAUAAUUUGCUUGCGAACCAAAUCGACCACUAAAGAAUUGAAAAGUUAAACAAUUUGUUCCCAAUACAGAACAAACUUUAGCCUAAAAUUUAAUGCUAAAAAUUACUACAAUGAGCUGAGUGGCUGAAAUGGUGCCACUUAAGAAUAAUUUGGUGGAUGAAAUGAAUGAAUUGUUUUGGAGUACAAAUUUUGAUUUAGACAAUCUAUUGAAAUUUAUUAUAGUACUGUUUAUAUUUAGGGGCCAUUUUUCAGGAUCUAUGAAAAAUUUAUAAUGUUGAGUAGAACAUACUAUAAAAGUAAUGUUGGAUAGAGCAUAUCACACAUUAGCACAAUCCUAAUCAAUAAUGAUAGCUAUUCAUCUCUAGUUCACUUUUAUAGUUAAUCAAAGAAUUAUUAACAACGAAAAUUAAUUUUCUUGUUUUGGUUUUCUAUCAUUGAAUCAGCAAUAGUUUGAUAUAAGAACUAUUCAGAACAGACUAAAUUAAAGAGAAAGAUGGAAUACCGUCAAUGAAAAUAAUAGGAUAUGAUAUCUUCAAAGAUAAAGAAGGCAGUGAACUUUUUACACAUAUAAUACGUAUAAUUAUUAAAGAAUAUAAAAGAAAUUAAAAAAAGGACAUACAGUACAUAUAUAAACUGGAAAAGAAGAUCAAUAAUGUAAAAGUUUGAUGUUAACACUGUUCCUUAAUUAAAAUUUCCAUAAUGAUUAUACUCGCUAUUUUCUUUCAUUUGCACAAAUCAAUAUGCUCCUUUCCCCCCUUUUUUUCUCCUGAUCACUCCUUAAAGAACGAGACAUAUAGCAUACAUAGAGAAGAGAGUACUUUGUCUCCCUCAAUAAAUACCUUGAGAAAAAAAUGUAACUCAUUAGUAGUUUCUUGAUUUUGUAAAAUUUUCUUUAUUUAAAAAAGAGUAACAUUGGAAGAAGGUCAUUAGUAUCUUUUUUAUUAUCUAAAACAACAUUUAUUAUCUUUUUUAUUAUCUAAAACAACAUUUAUUAGGAGCAAAAUAAAAAAGCUAAACAACCACUUAUUAGAAACAGAGGGAGUACUAAUUAUCUGAUAGUGUUUUCAGUGUUACGCAUCAUGAACUAAAAGCUUAAUUUAAGAAGCAUUGACUGCUUAAUGAAAUCUUUUAAUUCACAAUGAUAAUAAGGAAAUCCAAUUUGUGUUGUAUCAUUCUAGCCUUUCCAUUUUUUAUGGAGACAAAGCAUUAAUAGACAAAUGGAGAUUGGACAUAUCAAGAUUUCAGUCUCAUCCUGUCAAAUCAUUAAUUGUAAAACCUUCAUGUAUUUCUAUGUUCAGCCUAAGAUAUUAAGGGGUUAAUAUUCUUUCAAAACAUGGAGAGUUUCUGAUAUUGGGAGACAUGGUUGUUUGUCGAAUAUAUUUAUUUCUCAAUAAUUGAAAUAUAUAAUUGUAUUUGAUGUGAAGAAAGUAUUAGUUAAAAUGCAGUUUGGUUCAUUUUGGCUAGGGAUUCCAUCCUUUCCAUGUAUAAAAGUUUUUGAAUGUAAGGAUGAGAAAUCAAGGUAUCUGCUACACUUUUUUUAUAUAUACGUGUAGCGCAUGUAUCGAGAAAUUAGUAAAAGAAAAAAAAAAUUCCUCAGCUAAUUCUCAAUCAACACCAACUCCAUCUUAGGAAAGUGUGGUUGGUUCUGUUCUUCCUCGAAUUCAAUGAAUUUUUGUCAUAUUGUCAUACAUAUAACGAAUAAUAUAUAUAUNNNNNNNNNNNNNNNNNNNNNNNNNNNNNNNNNNNNNNNNNNNNNNNNNNNNNNNNNNNNNNNNNNNNNNNNNNNNNNNNNNNNNNNNNNNNNNNNNNNNNNNNNNNNNNNNNNNNNNNNNNNNNNNNNNNNNNNNNNNNNNNNNNNNNNNNNNNNNNNNNNNNNNNNNNNNNNNNNNUAUGCCUCUUUUCCUCUUUAAAUUUUAAAGUAAUAAUUAAGAAGAAAAAAGAAGAAGAUACUAUUCAAUAAUUUAAUUCUGAUACCAUCAACAUGGAAGACUCCAUUUGCUUCAUCUAACAAUGGACUUUGGCAUUAUAUAAUUAACAAAACAAUUAAUUAUUAGGAUAACUUAAUCACCGACAAAGGUUUCUUACUAUUAUCCUUAUGAGAUUCCACUAGUUAAGCUAAAUAUUUUUAAUCGACGUAAGAGUUAUGAAUGUAUAAACAAGUAGAUCUUAGCUACAUUGACCUAGUCAAUCAUUAUUAUUACCGACAUAUUUAUGCUAUACAAAUAUUUGUCCUAAUGCUAUCUUUUAUUUAUUUUUUUAAUGGAAAAGGGUCAAAAAGAUUCCUGAAUUAUUCGAAGUGGAGCAAAAAUAUCCCUCAUUAGUUUUUUGUCUCAAAAGUAUCCCUCUCUAAUGAAAUAACACCAAGCAUGUCAUGUAGACAAAAUACGUCACUUGAACAGUUCACGUCAGAUCGACCAUCUUUAUUAAAGGUGAAUGCUCCAUUAAAUGAGAGAUUUUCCAUGUGGAUAUUGGCGCCUAGCGUGGACUGUUCAAGUGGCGCUUUUUGUCCACGGACAUACUUAGUAUCAUUCUGUUAGAGAGAUGAAUAGUUUUGAGCCAAAAAUUUAAUGGAGGAAUAGUUGUAAGCAAAAAAAUUAACGAAAGAUAUUUUUACUUUAUUUCAAAUAAUUUAGGAAUAUUUUUAAUCGUUUUUUGCUUUUUUAUGAUUUCUAAGUUGCUUAUAAUUUUUUUAUUACUACAUGAUUAACAAUAUUUUUUUAUUUCCAUAAAUAACAGAGAGUAAACUAAGUUGCACCUUAAUGGUCGAAAAGUAUUCACUAUUUUUUUUAGACUUAAAGAGGUGAUUCUGAUACAUGUCUUAUGAACAAUCAUUACAAAUUUUAUUAUUUUAAAUUUUGUUUUAGAUAAGUCUAUGAUUAAGUUGUUGGUGACCAAUUUAUUCAAUUGAGUGAGGCUGGCAUGUCCAAAGAUUUUAGGACGAAGAAACGGGUUAUUAUGUUAAUUAGGUAGAUUUAUUUUAGGGAGAAAUAAGACAUAUGCUUUAAUUUGUAAAUAUUAAUAAGUAUUUUUCCAUUUAAGCAUAGCUUCUUUUAAAUUUAAAUUAGUAAUCAAACAGUGUUUAGUAGUAUUUUCUACCUUGUUGGCUUUGUCACACAUUUGAGAGAUGCUAAAAAUGUGUAUUAAAAAAAAAAUAAGAUGGAAAGAGAAGCAUACUGGCUCAAAGGUAAAGCCGCUAAAACGUGCUUUAAGGUUCAAAAAUAGUAUUUUUAUUAUAUAAUUAGUCUCUCCUAUGUUUUACAGUUUAUAGUCUAUAUGCAAUAAAUCAAAUUCUAUUAUAUAAUUUUUUAUAUAAAAAUAAAAGUUUCUUUAAAGUUAUUAAAGGAUGUCCAUUUGUUGUAAUAAAAUACAUUGAUUUUGGUUCUCAGAAUCCUAUUGGUACAUAAUAAACUUUGGCUAUUUUAAUUCAAAGUUUUAAAAUAUCAAAUACAAUUCUAUAAUCUUUAACUAAAAAUUUAAAAAUAAGAUUAUUAAACUUCCGAUGAUAUGAUUGUAUAAGAAAAUAAUAAACAUUUUAAAAUGUUAUUGUAACUUUAUAUAAUACAUGUAACAGUAUUUUUCUAGUGAUUAUAAGAAGAAUUUUAUUGAAAAAUCAAACGUAAUUGUAACUUGCGGUAUUGAAAGUAAAAUUUGAUGGCGAGGAAAAUAUGAGUCCAUUCUUAUGUCAUUAAAAUUUAUAAACCUUUUUAUUAAGAUGACUUGAAAAUGGUAUUUAACUAUAUAUAAUUUAUAAUUUUUUAAUUAUCAUAAAUAAAAUAUUUCAUUUUCGUGAUAUUUUAGUUUGGAUUGCUUUCUAUCUAUCAUUAAUGACAAAAUACAUCGUCAGACCCCUUAAAUUGACACCAUUUUUCACUUUGGCAUCUUAAGUGGACAUUGUUCACCUUUGGCAGUUCAAAUAACCAUAAAGUGUAUCAUUUUGACAUCUUUCGACAUCAAUAAAAGUGUGUGUUACACUCACUGUCAACGUGGAUAAAACGGCCAACUGAUUUAUGCCAAUUCAUUUAAAUUGCCACAUCAUUAUUUAUAUUCACAAUUAGUUUUAAAAAAAAUAAAAUCAAAACAUAUGGCAAUUAAUGACAUAAUUAUCUAACUCAUUAAUAUAUAUACAAAAUUAAAUUAAAAGAAUCAAUUAAUUACUGACACGUGACAUUUUUCAAAAUAAUUAUAAAAUUAUUUAUUUUAUUUGGACAACCCUCCACCCACCUCCCACCCCCAAACUCCAAAGUCAUCUUCUCUACCACCAUCUAUCCCCCCGAUACCCCCCACCCUAAAUCAUCUUCUCUAUUUGGCAACACCCCUCUUCCCGUCAUGUUCUCCAUCUCCCUCCCCCCCCACCACCCCCAACCCCUGCCUGAGUCAUCUUAUCCUCUCCAUUUGCCCCUUUGAAAAGAUGAACACUCAAUCAAAGAUUAUAGUAUAUAUGUAUAUCAAAGACCUUGAUUAGUCAUAGCUUGACCUCAAAAAUUAGAAGGCAUUAAAUGACUGUUUUUUUUCUUAACAAAAAAUAAAAAAGAAAUGAUUGACCUUGAAAUAUAUUCAUCAGUAGUAUGUGUGAACCUAUUCUUUGGCAACGCAGUGGUCUUCUUACUACUUCAGUUGCAGUCAUAACAUGUUGACAAAGAUGGUGAUUGCUCAACAACAAAUCACUCGUUGUUGUUAGUGUGUUAGUGUGUUUCGUUAUUCUUGAAAAGUUCAACCUCCAUUAAUGGAAGUUAAGCUAAAGAAAGGUUGUGUGAAGAAGGCAAUGUGAGGAAAUUUUUUGUAAUUAUUUGGUCAAUAAAACAUGUGCCAUUAAUUUAUUGGAUCAAUUUUUACUGAUUUGGCAAUAGAGAUUUUCAAUAGUUUUAAAAAAAAUUUAAAGAUGAAAAAUUACAAAAAUAUCCCUAAAAAUUUAUGAAAAUACUCUUCAAACGCUCCAAAAAGUGAGCAACGUCCACUUGAAGUGCCAAAAUGAAAGAUAGCACCAAGUUGAGGACCGACAAUAUAUUCUUUCUUCAUUAAUUAGUGCAUGUACUACUCCUGUACUCCAUUGGUUUUGAUUUUUUCUUGUUCCUGCACAUUAUUUCUCCUUUUUUACUGUCUAUAUAGUACUAUUUUUUAACUUAGUAUGUUGAAAUUAAUUAUUUUUUAUUUGCAUAUGAAAAAGAAAUACUUAACUAGAUUGAUUCUUAUUCGUAUAUAAAAAGUUAAAAUAGUGAAAUUCAAGAAAAAUAUAUGAAUUUUAUAUUUGGCUUUAGAUGGCUAAUUAUAUUAAGCCGCCCUUGAAGGGACGGUGAAUUGUAAUAUUUUUUGUGGUUGACUAUGAGGCGAGCUAUAAUAUGAAAUCAAAUAAGUAACAUAGUAUAAUUAUGUGCUAAGUAAUGUGUCAUAUGAUAUUUUUCAAUUGAUUUGAAUUCAGUGUGAAUUAUAGUUAGUCCUUCCUUUUGGAUUUUUGUUAAACUGAAAUUUUCAUUUUUAUUACAUAGAGAGAGAAGUUAUAAAAAGGAUGAUUACAACGUGUUGUAACUUUUCAGGACGAAGAACAACAAGUCAUUGUUUUAUUAAAGAGGGAUUGUCCCUUGUCCAUAUCAGCUUUCAAGAAAAUAACAGAACAAAUGUUGAAUCUACUACUAUGAGAAAUUCAUCAUUUGUUUUGUUGGAGUUAGCCAAUGUCUGCUUUCUCCUUCCUAAUCCUAAAAUUAGCCAAACCAACUUUAUCCAACCUAUAAGUCCUUUAUAUUCAUCAUUAAGCUCUUGAAAUUGUUGUUGAGUACAAUGUUGAGGGUGUACUUAAUUUCUAAUCAUACAAUAGCGGUCUUUUUCACUCUUUGUAGUUGAUAUAUUGCCUCACCAAACACUAUUUUCCUCUCUUCGCUCUUUUUAAAUACACAAUAAAUGAAUUAGGAAGUUACAAUGCUUGUUAAGAAUAGCAUAGAGCUUUGGAGAAUGUUUGGACAGGAUGUACAGUUUCUUUUCCUAGAAGGCAUAUAUAGUCUUUGUGUGCUUGAUGUCUUGAAAAAGGAUAGAGAAAGACAAUCCAUACUACAUGAAAAAUAUUGAAUUGAGACAUAAUAUUUAUCAAUGGACAAGUCUGGCAUAGAGUUUAAACGGAUUUGUGAUAGAAUUAACUAAUUUAUAGUGUUGAUUUUAAUUUUUUCAAAAAUAAAUCAUAAAAUAGAUUGCCUAGCUUGACGUGUUAUGUGAUAUUAUGCAUAGAUUAAGUCCAUUGGAGGUUGUCUGAUUAGAGAAUCGGACAAUGCUUAGCAUGGGAAUUUCAUUGAAUAUGGAGCUAAGUGAGACUUUAAUCUCUCAUUUACUUGCUUUUUCAAAAGCAUUAUUUAAAACUGAGAAAUCGCUUCAAACUACUCCUCCACCCCAUUUUAGUUGGGCACAUUCUAUUUUAUACGGUGAUUAAGAAUCAUAAAUUGAAUGAUAAAUUUUACGAUCUUACCCUUUACUCAUAUUAAUGUUAUUCGUUGGGCAUAAGAAUGAACAUUGAAAUUGAAAUUGUUAACAUUUAAUAUAUACUAAAAAUUGUAGGGGAAAAAUAAAAAAAUAAUUAAUUUUAUCCUAAUUUAGUAAGUGGUCUUUUUUGGUGGGCUGAAACGCAUUAAAAAGAAAUAGCGGAGUAUUACAGUAGCACCUGGAUUAACCAGGAUCUACAAAAUUUGAGUUUGAGCUUAUGCCCUCUAAUGAAACAUUACAACACCUUGUUUGCCUAAUGAAACUAGUUCCUAGGAUGUCAGCCCAGGUAGCUUUGCAGCAUACAUUGGAGGAAUUACAAAAGAGUUUCUCUGUCCACAAACUUUCAGUCUUGCUCCUUCCUUAGCUAAUGCAUCCUUCACCAUAUUCUGCUCUUUAUAGCAGUGCUGGAUUUGUGGUCGUCCCAGACUCCUGAUUAGCAACCUGCAUCCAUUAAUUAUGGCAUUAUAGUGGAGGUUUCCCUCUUUGAGCAUAAUAAUAACCUUUUUCGAGUCUACAUUGAUGUCCACGGGAACUAAGGACAUUUCCUCCAUAAUUUUUAGUCCCUUUAGUUGAGCAAAGAGCUCCAUCUGGUUAUUAGUAAUCACAGGGAAAACUUUUUUGAAACCUGUAGUCCAAUUCCCUUCAUUGUCUCUAAUAACCCCUCCAAUACCACCCCUACCAGGAUUUCCCAAACAUGAGCCAUCAGUGUUAAGUUUAAAUCUUUCUUUAGAGGUUGGUUCCCACUUAACACUAAUGUUCAAUAAUCUAUUUGUCACGACCUGAAUCAAGGUCUGGCCGUGAUGGGCAUCCCUAGCCAACCAAGGUCGGAGAUGACCCCUAACCUUACCUCAAGAGCACAUCAGUAAAAACAAACAACAAAAUCCAACCAAGAUAAAAAGAGAAACAUAUGAUUCCAAAAGAAAGUUAAGAGUCAAAACCAACUCCAUAAUAAUAUCCCGACACUGCCUACAAAAGUCUCUAAUCCAAAAAUACCAACUAAGUCAAGACAUGUCCCCGACUAUAACAAAAGAAAUUCAAAAGUUCUGAAAUGAUAAAUGUAACUAAGAAAGAGGCCAAGUCUUUUGAUAGUUCAUAAGUUGGUUGAACUUGUGUUGAACUUAUUGUGGAUUAAAUACAAAUUUUGUACCCAGAAUAACAAUCUUAAGGAAUUUAUUAAUAAUUUUAAUUUUUGAGUUUCUAGAGAUUAAAACUUUUUGCUUUCUACGCUGUUUGAACUUUAUAGUGAUUUGAAGUUAUAAAAACUUCAUCACGGGUUAAUGUUCAUUCAGUUGAUGAUUAGAAGAACAUAAAAGCUUCAACAUUAAACUAGAAAUAAGUUGUUUAAAGUUUUUAAAACUUUAUUCUUAGUAUUUUGACUUACUAAAUUGGUUGUCUUUUUGUCACAGUAAAAAUGAUUAUUGAAAAUCAAGUUAAUGAUGGAAUGGUCAAUGUCACAACAACAAAUAUUGCUACUUAAAAUCGUUCAAAUGCUGCUCCGCCAAGGCACUGACAGAAAAAUCAGAAAGUUUUCUAGUGUGGAUUUUAAAAGAUGGCAGCAGAAGUUGUUCUUUUAUCUGACUACAUUAAAUCUACAAAGGUUCAUCACUGAAAGCAUUUCAGAGUUUUCGAAAGAAAUAUCCAAAAAUAUACUUUAUUACUACAAAAGCUUGAAAGCACUUGAAUUUUUUAUAUAAGAACUACAUACUGAGUGGCUACAACAUGGCAUGUACAAUGUGUACAGCAAUAUGAAGACCUCUAAGGAACUAUGGGUAGCUUUGGAAAAGAAGUACAACAUAGAGAAUGCAUGAAUGAAGAAAUUUAUUAUUGCAAGAUUUGUAGAUUUUAGGUGGUAGACAGUAAUACUGUAGUUACCCAAGUUCAAGAACCGCAAGUCAUCAUUCAUGAUCUCCUCACCAAAGGUAUAAAUUUGUUCUUGAUACUUACAUAGUCUCUGAUGUAGGCUUAAUUGUGAACGAGGCUUAUCAAGUAGCUGCUAUAAUCGAGAAGUUACCACAUUUGUGGAAAGACUUCAAAAACUACUUAAAGCACAAGCACAAGGAGAUGUCUUUCGAAGACCUUAUUGUGAGGUUAAGAAUCGAAGAGGACAAUAAAGCAUCAGAAAAGAGGUCUCGAUGGAAUUUACAAUAAGUAGAGAAAAUAUUGUGGAAGACGACCCCCAAUAAAUUAAAGAGAGAAAGGAAGCGUCAGGACAAUAAGGCAAUCCUCCUAAGAAGAAAUUCAAAGAAAAUUAUUUUAACUGUGACAAAGUUGGCCACAAGUCUUCAGAUUGUCAGGCUCCUAAGAAGGACAAGAAAAGAGGAUCAAGCUAACAUGGUUGAAUCCAAGAUGAUGUGGAGAUCUAUGUGCUAUGCUUUUGGAGUGCAUGUUGGUUGAAAAUCCUAGAGAGUAGUGGAUUAAUUCAGGUGCCACUAGCCACAAUGUGCCAACAAAAAAUUAUUUCCAUUAUAUUUUCUGGCUCAGGCUAAUGAGAACAUAUUCACGGUAACUCUGUUACGGUAAAGAUUGAAGGAAAAUGCAAGAUUUACUUGAAGAUGACAUUGGGCAAGGUGGUGACACUAAACAACGUCCUUUAUGUUUCAAAGUUGCGAAAGAACUUAGUUUCUACUUCACUUCUAACUAAAAAUAGAUUCAAAUAAGAAUUUGUUUCUGACAAAGCUGUAAUUAGUAAGCAAGAAGUGUAUGUAGGUAAAGGUUACUUCAUCGAGGAUUUUUUUAAGAUCAGUGUAAUAAAUGUUGAAAUCAAUAAAAAUUCUGUUUCUUCUUACUUACUUGAGUUAAAUGAAUUAUGGCAUGAACAUUUAGGACAUAUUAAUUACAAAACUUUGCAAAAACUGAUUAAUUUAAAAAUUUUGCCUAACUUUGAGUGUAAUAAAUCAAAUUGUCAAACAUGUGUGGAAUCUAAGUAUGCUAAGCAUCUAUAUAAGUCUGUUGAAAGGAAUUUCAAUCCCUUAGACUUAAUCCACACAAAUAUUUAUGCUAUGAAGUCAAUACCAUCUCAUGGUGAGAAAAAGUAUUUCAUAACUUUUAUUAAUGAUUGCGCUAGAUAUUGUUAUUUUUAUUUGCUAAAUGAUAAGAAUAAAGUAAUAGACGUAUUUUGGUAAUAUAAAACUAAAGUUGAAAACCAGUUGGAUAAAAAGAUCAAAAUAAUAAGAAGUAAUAGGAGUAGAGAGUAUGUAUCUUCUUUUGCAGGGGUAUGUUAGAAAAAAGGAAUUAUCCAUCAAACUAAUUUCCCGUAUUCACCUCAAUCAAAUGGGAUUGUGAAAAGAAAAAUUGAAUGUUAAAGAAAAUAAUAAUUGUCUUACUCAUAAGUUCAGAUAUACCGCAAAACUUGUGGGGGGAAGUUAUCCUUACAGCAAAUCGAAUACUCAAUAGAGUUCCCUAUAAGAAGACACACUCUAUCCUAUAUGAAAAUGAAAAGGAAGGAAACCCAACUUGAAAUAUUUCAAAGUGUGGGAUUGUCUAGCUAAAGUCCAAGUCUAUAUACCUAAAAGGAUAAAAAUAGGACCAAAGAUUGUGGAUUGUGUGUUCAUCGUAUAUGCUACAAGGAGUAAAGCAUUUCAAUAUUUGGUUCAUAAAUUCGAACCAUGAAAAUACGAUAAUCUGAAUCAGAUAAUAUUAAGUUCUUUGAAUACAUUUAUCCGUAUAAAAUUGGACAUGAGAUGUCUAGUGGAGGAUCUAAACAACCUCGAGAUGAACCAAAGGAGAAUGUACUUAAUAAUGAGAAUCAAGGUGUAGUACACGUCAAAUACCGUCAAUUUUCUUUGGAUAAGAUUUUGUAACAUUUCUUCUUGAAAAUGAGCCUUAAAAAUUGAAAGAAACGAUGUCGUCUUCAGACCCAUCCUUUUGGAAAGAGGCAAUCAAUGGUGAUAUAGAUUCAAUCUUGAGCAACCAUACUUAGGAAUUGAUUGAUCUUUCUCCGGUAAAUAAACCUUUAGGUUCUAAAUGGAUCUUCAAAAGGAAAAUAAAAGCUAGUGGUACUUUUGACAAUUAUAAGACAAGACUUGUUGUGAAAGAUUUUAGACAAAAAGAAGGCCUUUAUUAUUUCGAUACAUACUCGCCAAUAACAAGGAUAACGUUCAUUCAGAUGUUGGUUGCGUUGACGACAGUAUAUGAUGUUGAAAUUCAUCAAAUGGAUGUGAAUACAACGUUCUUAAAUAGAGAAUUGAAGGGAGAAAUUUACAUAAAACAACCUAAGGGUUUUGUAGUUUCUGGUAAAGAAAAGAAAUUGUGCAAACUUGUUAAAACACUUUAUGGAUUAAAACAAGCACCCAAAUAGUGGUAUAUAAAAUUUGACCAAACCAUGUUGGCAAACGAUUUCAGGAUAAACGAAUGUGAUAAAUGUGUUUACAUUAAAGACACUCCAAAUCACAAAGUCAUUAUUUGUUUGUAUGUGGAUGACAUGUUGACCAUCAGUAGAGACAUUCUAACAUAAAUGCUAUGAAAUAAAUGCCUGAGGGCAAGUUUGAUUUGAAAGACCUUAGAGUUGCUGACGUAAUCUUAGGGAUAAGAAUUUUUAGAACUCCAUAGGUAUUGGCGUUGUCACAGUCGCAUUACAUUGAAAAGGUGUUUGACAAGUUCAAGCAUUUAGAUUUCAAUAUUGUUGAGACUACAUUAGACAUGAGUUUUGCAUUUCAAAAGAAUGAAGGUGAAAGUAACUCACAGUUGGACUAUGCAAGAGUGUUGAAAAGUUUGGUGUAUAUAUCAUAAAUUGUACGUGAGAAGACAUAGAAUGCACUAUUAGUAAAUUAAGUCGGUAAAAGACUACUCCUAAUCAAACUCAUUGGAUGGAUAUGAAAAAAGUUUUAGGGUAUCUAAAACAUACCCAAGACUAUGUUUUUAUUAUAACAAAUAUCCAGCGUAGAUGAGGUGACUUUUCAAAAUAAUGUAAUUUUUCGUGAACCAUUACUUUCUUUCUGAAGCACCACAUUGUGGCUAUAAAUGCCUGAAUUUUUCCUCUGAUAAAGGUAUGAAGAUUUGAAGGGAAAAACAUUUUCUUUUUCUUCUUAAAACUCUGGUAUGAUCUUCAAACUAUUGAGUGAGUUCGUUGUUCAGAAAAUUUGAGGUACCACUAUUUUUUGAAGAGAAUCAUUUUUCGUAGGGAGGAUAUAUUCCUUUAACCUCGAGUACUUGACUAGAAUAAUUUUUUUAAGGAUACAUCGUGAAUUCAGUGGAUUUGACUCAAUCGUUUCUGUCUUCAUCCCAUUUUCUUAAAGUUGGUUUUAUUAUUUUUCCAGAAAAAUAGUUUGAACAUUAUAUUGAUAGUUCUUCAUUUGUUUGAACUUGUGUUUGAAGUUUUUGAAACUUCAUUUUGAUAGGUUAUAAGUUGUUGAACUUGUGUUGAAGUUAUUGUGGAUUAAAUACAGAUUUUGUACAAAAAAUAAUACGAAAUAGCUGUGAAACCUUGGGGAGCGACCAACUAAAAGAAUUUGCACCGAAGUCGAUCCGAAAUCACUUUCAAAGUAAUGGCUUACCACGACACAAUAUUUUCAGUUCCAUAUUAAUAUUAGAGUAAUUUUUCCAACAAGUGGCAAAGUUUGUUAUUUAACUACAAAAUUUGUUCGUCAACAAAUCCUUGUUUUUCUUUUGUUGGGUAGUAUAUUUUGGUUUUAUCUAAUCAAUCUAUUGACAAGCUAAGCGCCUACGAAAACGAUGUAGAUGUUCUACCUACGGGGGCGGGGGGGUGUCUAUUACAAUUACAAAAAUAAACUGAAUGUUGAGUUUCAGUUCCACUAACACCUUGCAAAAGUGAAUUACCCAUGAAAGAUGGGGGUAUUAUAUCAAAAAAAAAAAACAUAUCUUUUGUUGUUUUCUAAUUUCUAACGAUAUAUUUUUGAUCCAUUGCUUUCCCAUAGUAUGCUAACUUGACAGCCACUUUUUUUUGCUUUUCUAUAUACGUGGAACACUUUUUUUUUCGUCAAAAUGCGAAUCAUAAUUUAAUCCGUCAAUUUUUACUAAAUUGUAAUUGUCUUUUUUUUUUUAUAAACAGAGAUAGCAGGUAACCCAAGAAAAAAAAAUGUCUAGCAGAACAUAUUACGCAUCCUCGAAACUACUAUGACCUAUAAAACUAGAUGAUAAAAAAAUUGGUUUUAUCAUACUGGCACACUUGUAGAUGUUCCAUAAUUCAUGUAAAUUUACUUCAGAUGAAUUGUAGUUUUUGUGUUCAAAUUCAUAUAAAAACGAAAUGAUUUAAGUUUCGUUCUUUGAAUAUCGCCAUACAGAAAUAAAAUAGAACAAGGGGAGUACUUUUCUAGGUCUCUAUUUGAUAUUUUAUCAGUAACAAUUUGAAAAUAGUCAUAACUCAUACACGUAGUAGUAGGUGGAAAUGUUUCUGAUUGAAUUCGGCAUAAAAAUAUUUUUAUGGAAAAAAAGUUUCUUCUAGUUUUGGUUUAUAAGUGGAUCAAUUUUUGUGGAAAAAAAGUUUCUGCUAGUUUUGGUUUCUAAGUGGAUCAUUCCCUAGCGCUCUACUAAAUGAUUUAAUUUUAUAUAAAGAAGAUGAAAUUAUAAGAAAAAAGAGAAAAAAGAAAAAGACUAGAGAUCUAAAGAAGGGAAAACUUAAAGUAUGUGGUAAUAACUUCUUUUAUUCAUCACAUAAUCUCUGCAUUUUGCAAGGAGAUUGAAACUGAGCAAACAUACACAAAGACAUAAAAGUAAAAAUACAAAUAUAAAUAGAGUACAAACAAUAUCACUAAUAACUUAGAGAACAUGAAGCUACAAAAGAACUUCGCCUCCCGUGGGGCUUAUUGUUUACUCUUUUUUCUUCUUUUUGGCAUUGCCUCUCGAAAUGGAAAAUGCCUUUCCUUGAGCUCAACAUUCUGCUUUUCCUGCAUAAGAAUAUAAUAUUGUCAAUGAGAACAUAUAGUAACUGAUUAAUAAACCUAAUAAGUAGGAGAUAGCAUAGGCUUAUAUAUUAAUGCGUUUGCAUGAAGAAAUUGUGCAACUUGUAUUGAUUUGCAUUUAGACAAAUCAUUUUUAAGAAUUUUAGUUUGGCUUAAUUACCUUAGAUUUGAUGUUGUUGUUUCUUAGUGAUGGUAGGGAGGAGGUGGAGACUUGUAAACCGGAGUUGGUGGUGGUGGAGACUUGUAUACUGGUGCAGGAUGGUGUGGUGUUGGUGAAGGAUGGUAUGGAUUCACUGGUGGUGGUGACUUGUAAACGGGUGUUGGUGGUGGUGGAGAUUUGUAUACUGGUGCAGGGUGGUAUGACUUCACUGGUGGUGGUGGUGACUGGUAAACGGGUGUUGGUGGUGGUGGAGACUUAUAAACUGGUGCAGGAUGAUAUGGCUUCACUGGUGAUGGUGGUGACUUGUAAACGGGUGUUGGUGGUGGUGGAGACUUAUAAAUUGGUGUGGGAUGAUAUGGUGUUGGUGGAGGAUAGUAUGGCCUCUUAGGUGGUGGUGGUGACUUGUAAACUGGAGUUGGUGGUGGUGGCGACUUGUACACUGGAGUGUGUGGCGGGUAGUAUGGCUUUUUGGGUGGUGGUGGGGACUUGUAAACUGGAGUUGGGGGUGGUGGAGACUUGUAAACUGGGGUGUGUGGAGGGUAGUGUGGUGGUGACUUGUAAACUGGAGUCGGGGGUGGUGGAGACUUGUAAACUGGGGUGUGUGGAGGAUAAUGUGGCUUCUUUGGUGGUGGUGGGGACUUGUAAACUGGAGUGUGUGGAGGAUAGUGUGGCUUCUUCGGUGGUGGUGGUGACUUGUAAACAGGAGUUGGUGGUGGUGGCGACUUGUGAACUGGUGCGGGAUGAUAAGGUGUUGGUGAAGGGUGGUAUGGCUUCUUAGGUGGUGGUGGAGAUUUGUAAACAGGAUGAUGAUGGUGUGGUGGAGGGGACUUAUAUACUGGGUGGUGAUGGUUUGGUGGAGGAGACUUAUAUACUGGGUGGUGGGGUGGAGAUGGAUAGACAUGCACUGGUGGAG
rnacentral:lncRNA from 1 species